rnacentral:rRNA from 1 species
AUGACGUACUCGGCAGUCAGACUGUGGGUGAUAAGGUCCAUGGUCAAAAGGGAAACAGCCCAGACCGCCAGUUAAGGUCCCAAAAUGCAUGCUGAGUGGAAAAGGAUGUGGGGAUGCACAGACAACUAGGAGGUUGGCUCAGAAGCAGCCACCCUUCAAAGAGUGCGUAACAGCUCACUAGUCGAGUGACCCUGCGCCGAAAAUGUACCGGGGCUAAGCAUACUACCGAAGCUGCGGAUUCAACUUCAGAGUUGAGUGGUAGGGGAGCGUUGCAUGCACGUAGAAGCCGUACCGUAAGGAGCGGUGGAGAGCAUGGAAGAGAGAAUGCCGGUGUGAGUAGCGAGAUGUAGGUGAGAAUCCUACACACCGAUAGCCCAAGGAUUCCAGGGGAAGGUUCGUCCGCCCUGGGUAAGUCGGGACCUAACGCGAGGCCGAAAGGCGUAGUGGAUGGAAAACAGGCAGAUAUUCCUGUACCCGCGAUGGAAAUGAAGGAAUGACGGAGAAGGUAAGUAUGACCCACUAAAUGGAUUGUGGGCGAAGCGUAUAGCAGGAUGGCAGUGAAAUGCGUCAUCAGGAUGUAAAGCGUGAAAGGUAAGGGAACGCCCAAGGGCAAGUACCGAAGCAUAUGCAGCCAGCUUCCAGGAAAAGUUUCUAGUAUAUUCCAUAGCGGCCCGUACCAAAACCGACACAGGUGGGCAAGGAGAGGAUCCUGAGGUGAGCGAGAGAACUGUUGCCAAGGAACUCGGCAAAAUGACUCCGUAAGUUAGCGAGAAGGAGUGCUUAUGAAAGUAAGCCGCAGUGAAGAGGCCCAAGCGACUGUUUAACUAAAACACAGCUCUCUGCAAAGUCGCAAGACGAAGUAUAGGGGGUGACGCCUGCCCGGUGCUGGAAGGUUAAGAGGAUUUGUCAGUAGCGAUACGAAGCAAUGAAUUGAAGCCCCAGUGAACGGCGGCCGUAACUAUAACGGUCCUAAGGUAGCGAAAUUCCUUGUCAGGUAAGUUCUGACCCGCACGAAUGGCGUAACGACUUGGGCGCUGUCUCAACAGCCCACCCGGCGAAAUUGUUGUACUGGUGAAGAAGCCAGUUACCCGCAACUAGACGGAAAGACCCCAUGGAGCUUUACUGUAGCUUAAUACUGGAAAUCGGUAAAUCAUGUACAGGAUAGGUGGGAGACUUGGAAGCCAGGGCGUCAGCUUUGGUGGAGUCACCCUUGGGAUACCACCCUUGAUUUGCUGGUUUUCUAACCUGCGGCCGUGAAUCCGGUCGGGGGACACUGUUAGGUGGGCAGUUUGACUGGGGCGGUCGCCUCCUAAAAGGUAACGGAGGCGCUCAAAGGUUCGUUCAGCACGGACGGAAACCGUGCAGUGAGUGUAAACGCAUAAACGAGCCUAACUGCGAGACCGACGGGUCGAGCAGUAACGAAAGUUGGAGUUAGUGAUCCGGCGGUAUGUGAAUGGAAAUGCCGUCGCUCAACGGAUAAAAGCUACCCUGGGGAUAACAGGCUGAUCUCCCCCAAGAGUUCACAUCGACGGGGAGGUUUGGCACCUCGAUGUCGGCUCAUCGCAUCCUGGAGCUGAAGUCGGUUCCAAGGGUUGGGCUGUUCGCCCAUUAAAGCGGUACGCGAGCUGGGUUCAGAACGUCGUGAGACAGUUCGGUCCCUAUCUGUUGCGGGCGGAAGAGAUUUGAAGGGAGCUGUCCUUAGUACGAGAGGACCGGGAUGGACGUACCUCUGGUGCACCAGUUGUCCUGCCAAGGGCAUAGCUGGGUAGCUAAGUACGGACGAGAUAAACGCUGAAGGCAUCUAAGCGUGAAACUCCCCCUAAGAUUAGAUCUCUCAUUCGAAAGAAGUAAGGCACGACGUAGACUAUGUCGUUGAUAGGCCGGAGGUGGAAGCACGGUAACGUGUGCAGCUGACCGGUACUAAUAAGCCGAGGGCUUGACCU